rnacentral:rRNA from 1 species
GGGUGACUGCGUACCUUUUGUAUAAUGGGUCAGCGACUUAUAUUUUGUAGCGAGGUUAACCGAAUAGGGGAGCCGAAGGGAAACCGAGUCUUAACUGGGCGAAGAGUUGCAAGGUAUAGACCCGAAACCCGGUGAUCUAGCCAUGGGCAGGUUGAAGGUUGGGUAACACUAACUGGAGGACCGAACCGACUAAUGUUGAAAAAUUAGCGGAUGACUUGUGGCUGGGGGUGAAAGGCCAAUCAAACCGGGAGAUAGCUGGUUCUCCCCGAAAUCUAUUUAGGUAGAGCCUUGAGGUGACACCUUUGGGGGUAGAGCACUGUUUCGGCUAGGGGUCCAUCCCGGAUUACCAACCCGAUGCAAACUACGAAUACCAAAGAGUGAUACUCAGGAGACACACGGCGGGUGCUAACGUCCGUCGUGGAGAGGGAAACAACCCAGACCGCCAGCUAAGGUCCCCAAGUCUAUAUUAAGUGGGAAACGAAGUGGGAAGGCUUAGACAGCUAGGAUGUUGGCUUAGAAGCAGCCAUCAUUUAAAGAAAGCGUAAUAGCUCACUAGUCGAGUCGGCCUGCGCGGAAGAUGUAACGGGGCUGAAAUAUAGCACCGAAGCUGCGGCAUCAGGCGUAUCACUAAUACGCCUUACGAUUAACAAGCUAGAAUGGCGCGAAGCGGCAUGAAAGGUUGUUCAAGCAACCCGAACGUUGAGUCGGGGUAUUUUUGAAGUAAGGAUUAUUAGUGAUACGCCUGUUGGGUAGGGGAGCGUUGUGUAAGCGGAUGAAGGUUAAUCGAGAGGUUAGCUGGACGUAUCACAAGUGCGAAUGCUGACAUAAGUAACGAUAAAACGGGUGAAAAACCCGUUCGCCGGAAGACCAAGGGUUCCUGUCCAACGUUAAUCGGGGCAGGGUGAGUCGGCUCCUAAGGCGAGGCUGAAAAGCGUAGUCGAUGGGAAACAGGUUAAUAUUCCUGUACUUGGUAAAGCUGCGAUGUGGGGACGGAGUAGGUUAGGUUAUCGCACUGUUGGAUAUGUGCGUUUAAGUUGGUAGGUGGGAAGUUUAGGCAAAUCCGGACUUCCUUAACACAGAGAGAUGAUGACGAGGCUCUACGGAGCUGAAGUAACUGAUACCACACUUCCAGGAAAAGCCACUAAGCGAAAGGCUUUACUAAACCGUACUGAAAACCGACACAGGUGGUCAGGUAGAGAAUACUCAGGCGCUUGAGAGAACUCGGGUGAAGGAACUAGGCAAAAUAGCACCGUAACUUCGGGAGAAGGUGCGCCGGCGUAGAUUGUAGUCCCUAGCGGGCGAAGGUUGAACCGGUCGAAGAUACCAGCUGGCUGCAACUGUUUAUUAAAAACACAGCACUCUGCAAACACGAAAGUGGACGUAUAGGGUGUGAUGCCUGCCCGGUGCUGGAAGGUUAAUUGAUGGUGUAAUCGCAAGAGAAGCACCUGAUCGAAGCCCCAGUAAACGGCGGCCGUAACUAUAACGGUCCUAAGGUAGCGAAAUUCCUUGUCGGGUAAGUUCCGACCUGCACGAAUGGCAUAAUGAUGGCCAGGCUGUCUCCACCCGAGACUCAGUGAAAUUGAAAUCGCCGUGAAGAUGCGGUGUACCCGCGGCUAGACGGAAAGACCCCGUGAACCUUUACUAUAGCUUGACACUGAACAUUGAAUUUUGAUGUGUAGGAUAGGUGGGAGCCUUUGAAGCAGUGACGCCAGUCAUUGUGGAGGCGACCUUGAAAUACCACCCUUUAACGUUUGAUGUUCUAACGAAGAUGACGAAACGUGGUCUCGGACAGUGUCUGGUGGGUAGUUUGACUGGGGCGGUCUCCUCCCAAAGCGUAACGGAGGAGCACGAAGGUUUGCUAAUCACGGUCGGACAUCGUGAGGUUAGUGCAAUGGUAUAAGCAAGCUUAACUGCGAGACAGACAAGUCGGGCAGGUACGAAAGUAGGUCAUAGUGAUCCGGUGGUUCUGAAUGGAAGGGCCAUCGCUCAACGGAUAAAAGGUACUCCGGGGAUAACAGGCUGAUACCGCCCAAGAGUUCAUAUCGACGGCGGUGUUUGGCACCUCGAUGUCGGCUCAUCACAUCCUGGGGCUGAAGUAGGUCCCAAGGGUAUGGCUGUUCGCCAUUUAAAGUGGUACGCGAGCUGGGUUUAGAACGUCGUGAGACAGUUCGGUCCCUAUCUGCCGUGGGCGU